ACUGUUUUGGCAGAUUAGUGCAUUAAAUUUAGAAUUUAAAGAAGUAAUUAUUUUACAAAUAGUAU
rnacentral:tRNA from 1 species